AAACUUUCAGAGUAGGCCUCCAUACCAGAAUUGUGCCUACAAUAGAGAUCAGUCUAGUCAGCCUACCCAACCACUAUAUCACAAUCAGCCACCAUACCCACCGCCUCAAUAGACUAAUCUAACCAACGAUAGAUUUAAUUAACUUCAAUAAUUGAUUAUGAUCCAACAGUAAUCUAUCGCUAGGUUAGAAGCACAAAUAGGAUAAUUAGCUGAGUCUACC
rnacentral:lncRNA from 1 species